AUUGAACGCUGGCGGCAGGCCUAACACAUGCAAGUCGAGCGGAAGAAGGGAGCUUGCUCCUGGAUUCAGCGGCGGACGGGAGAGUAAUGCCUAGGAAUGUGCCGGGGAGGGGGGGAUAACGUCCGGAAACGGGCGCUAAUACCGCAUACGUCCUGAGGGAGAAAGAGGGGGAUCCUCGGACCUCACGCUAUCAGAUGAGCCGAGGUCGGACUAGCUAGUUGGUGGGGUAAAGGCCGACCAAGGCGACGAUCCGUCACUGGUCUGAGAGGAUGAUCAGUCACACUGGAGCUGCGACACGGUCCAGACUCCUACGGGCGGCAGCAGUCGGCACUCUUCCACCCUGGGCCAAAGCCUGCUCCCGCCCUGCCGCGUGUGUGCCGACGGUCUUCGGCUUGUACAGCACUUUCAGUUCGGGGGAAGGGCAGUCCGUUACUCCCUUGCUGUUUUGACGUCCCCGACAGAAUCAGCCCCGGCUCACUUCGUG
rnacentral:rRNA from 1 species